AUUGAACGCCGGCGGCAUGCUUUACACAUGCAAGUCGAACGGUAACAGGCCGCAAGGUGCUGACGAGUGGCGAACGGGUGAGUAAUGCAUCGGAACGUGCCCAGUCGUGGGGGAUAACGCAGCGAAAGCUGCGCUAAUACCGCAUACGAUCUAUGGAUGAAAGCGGGGGACCGUAAGGCCUCGCGCGAUUGGAGCGGCCGAUGUCAGAUUAGGUAGUUGGUGGGGUAAAGGCCCACCAAGCCAACGAUCUGUAGCUGGUCAGAGAGGACGACCAGCCACACUGGGACUGAGACACGGCCCAGACUCCUACGGGAGGCAGCAGUGGGGAAUUUUGGACAAUGGGCGCAAGCCUGAUCCAGCAAUGCCGCGUGCAGGAAGAAGGCCUUCGGGUUGUAAACUGCUUUUGUACGGAACGAAACGGUUCUCUCUAAUACAGGGGGCUAAUGACGGUACCGUAAGAAUAAGCACCGGCUAACUACGUGCCAGCCGCCGCUGUAACAC
rnacentral:rRNA from 1 species